rnacentral:rRNA from 1 species
UCCCCACCCCGGUGAGAAUGCCCUUAACAUCAAUUUAGAUCAAGAGGAGCAGGCAUUAAGCACACUAUUUAGUAGCUCAAGAUGCCUUGCUUAACCACACCCCCAAGGAAACAGCAGUGAUAGAAAUUUAGCAAUGAACGCAAGUUUGACUAAGUUAUGCUACUCUAGGGUUGGUAAAUUUCGUGCCAGCCACCGCGGUCAUACGAUUAACCCAAACUAAUAAAUUUCCGGCGUAAAGCGUGAUUAGAACCAAAACAAGAAAAAUAAAAUCAAAUAACAACUAAGCUGUAAAAAGUAAUAGUUGCAAACAAAAAUAAACGACGAAAGUGAUUUUAUAACCUUCGAACUCACGAUAGCUAAGACCCAAACUGGGAUUAGAUACCCCACUAUGCUUAGCCCUAAACCUAAAUAAUUCCAUAACAAAAUUACUCGCCAGAGAACUACAAGCCAGAGCUUAAAACUCAAAGGACUUGGCGGUGCUUUAUACCCACCUAGAGGAGCCUGUUCUAUAAUCGAUAAACCCCGAUAAACCUUACCACUCUUUGCCAACUCAGCCUAUAUACCGCCAUCUUCAGCGAACCCUAAAAAGGAACAAAAGUAAGCUCAAUUAUCCCCAUAAAAACGUUAGGUCAAGGUGUAGCCUAUAGAGUGGAAAGUAAUGGGCUACAUUUUCUACUUCAGAACAUACGAAAGCCCUUAUGAAACUCUAAGAGCCAAAGGAGGAUUU